UACGGAGGGUGCGAGCGUUGUCCGGAAUCACUGGGCGUAAAGGGCGCGUAGGCGGCUUGGGAAGUCCGUGGUGAAAGCUCGUGGCUCAACUGCGAGUCGGCCAUGGAUACUCCUAAGCUCGAGCACUGUAGAGGCAGGUGGAAUUCCGGGUGUAGCGGUGGAGUGCGUAGAGAUCCGGAAGAACACCGGUGGCGAAGGCGGCCUGCUGGGCAGUAGCUGACGCUGAGGCGCGACAGCGUGGGGAGCAAACAGG
rnacentral:rRNA from 1 species